GAUCAUGGCUCAGAUUCGAACGCUGGCGGCAUGCCUUACACAUGCAAGUCGAACGGCAGGCACGGGGGCAACCUGGUGGCGAGUGGCGAACGGGUGAGUAAUGCAUCGGAACGUGCCAUUGAGUGGGGGGUAACGUAGCGAAAGUUACGCUAAUACCGCAUAUUCUGUGAGCAGGAAAGCAGGGGAUCGCAAGACCUUGCGCUCUUUGAGCGGCCGAUGUCAGAUUAGCUAGUUGGUGAGGUAACGGCUUACCAAGGCGACGAUCUGUAGCGGGUCUGAGAGGAUGAUCCGCCACACUGGAACUGAGACACGGUCCAGACUCCUACGGGAGGCAGCAGUGGGGAAUUUUGGACAAUGGGGCAACCCUGAUCCAGCCAUGCCGCGUGAGUGAAGAAGGCCUUCGGGUUGUAAAGCUCUUUCGGCCGGGAAGAAAUCGCAUGGGUUAAUACCCUGUGUGGAUGACGGUACCGGCAUAAGAAGCACCGGCUAACUACGUG
rnacentral:rRNA from 1 species